CAUAUUCAGCUCUUCCCUUUCAGACUUGGACACUGUUGUGGUGGCUCAGGUUACACUUUGUGAAUAUUUUUGGAAAUGACUGUAGCAGCUGUGGACUUGGCCCUAUCUCCUCUUGGUUUGGAAGAUGAAUAUAACACCCUCCUAACCCAAGAUGCUAUUCGCUUUCUAGCUGAAUUGGUCUCCACUUUUGAACUGGACGUAGAUAAGAUCCUACAACAGCGAAUUGCUCGAAAAGUUCAGUUGGAUCUAACCAAUGGCCUCCCAGAUUUCUCUACUCAUACGUCCCAUAUUCGCAAAGACAAAUCAUGGAAAGUGUUGCCUGUUCCUAGGAGACUACAAAACCGGCAGGUGGAUAUUGGUGAUACUGCACCUUACCAAACUGAGCGAUUCCUCAGUGCCUUAGGAUCCACUGCACAGGGCAUUCAGGUUGAUUUCGAUGAUGGCAAUUGUCCAACUUUCUUUAAUCAAAUUAAGGGUAUCUAUAAUGUCGUCCAAGCUGUUCACCAUAAAUUUCCAGGUGCCCCACCCAUAUCCAAAGCCCCUGUUCUAAUGCUUAGACCAAGAGCCUGGAACAUGGUAGAACACAAUAUGAUGGUGAAUGGAAAGCAAGUUCCAGGACCCCUCUUUGAUUAUGGUCUGCUGAUGUUCCAUGUGGGGAAAAUCUUAUAUGAUAAUGAAAGUGGCCCCUUCUUUUAUCUCUCAAAGGUAGAGAGUUAUCAGGAAGCCAGACUGUGGAAUAACAUAUUUGUCUGGACUCAGGAAAAGCUAAAUAUGCCCAUCGGUACCAUCAAAGCCACUGUGUUAAUAGAAAGCAUUUUGGCCUCAUUUGAGAUGGAAGAGAUUUUGUAUGAACUGAAAGACCAUUCUGCUGGCUUGAACUGUGGCAUCUGGGAUUAUUCUGCCUCUUUUGUCUCCAAAUUUGGUCAUCGAGCUGAAUUCUUGUUGCCAGACAGGAGCAAGUAUGUUAACAUGGAAAAACUUUUCCUCAAGAGUUAUAUGGAUUUACUGGUGCAAACAUGUCACCGGCGAGGAGCUCUGGCAACUGGAGGGAUGGCUGCCUUGUUACUACCAAAGGACCAAAACAGUGACAGCUACCAGUCUGUCUUAGCAGCUGUUAAACGGCUCAAAUUGUUUGAAAUUAAGGCUGGAGUGGAUGGAUUUAUGGUGUAUGAUAUUGGUUUGGUGGAACCAAUGCAGAAGCUCUUUAAGGAAUACACAAGAGGUCCCAAUCAGUUACAUGUCAUUCCUGAUGGGGUGAAUAUUACUGCAACAGAACUACUAACCAUGCCUGCAGGAGGUGUCACCCUCCAUGGCCUGAAGUAUAACAUUGCUGUUGGAGUGCUCUUCAUAUAUUCUUGGCUGAAAGGAGAAGGUCAUUUUUACUAUCGUGGUCAAGUUGAAGAUUCAGCAACUGCAGAGAUUUCCAGGUCACAGGUAUGGCAGUGGAUUCGUCACAGAGCUAAAUUAGAAGAUGAUGAGAGAAUGGUGGUGUCAAGGAGUCUCGUUCACAACUUAGUCAAGGAAACGAAGAAUGAACUACAAGACUUUUACUGUCAAUCUGAAAGCAUGUAGAUUACUGGAGUAUGACAUGAAGCACACAACUAACAAAAAUUUCACUACAGUUUGCAUUUCCCUACGGAAUUCACUGUACUAAGGGGCAAGCUAAGCUGAUGAAUUCUACCGAUUACCUGAAGCAAUAACAUAGCUAAAGUUAAUGCUUAAGAAUUCUAAUCUUCACUUCAGCUAGCAUUUUGCCUGUGUCAAUGCAUAGUCUAUAUGCAUUUAUACUUUCCAUAACUCCUGCAAGAAAAAUUAGUCAAAUGAACAAGACACAUAAUCUUUAUAUAUUUAAUAAAAGCACACACAUACCUAAAUAUACCAGAGUUUAUUCGUGUUUUAAUGGGAAACUGCACAAAUAUUCUGGAAUUUAACAUGAUUUUUAUUGGAUCUUGGGACCAAAAUUUUUCCAUGGCUCAAAAAUUUAACAGUAAAAUUUGGUGCAAAAAUAAACAUCAAUUACUGUUUACUGCUAUAUACCUUUUCAGAAAUACAAUGACCUAGUAAUAAAACAUGUAUGUGUAAAAUAUUUAGGCAAGGAAUCCCACUUGACUAAAACUUAACUUCUUUUAAGGUCACUUCAAAUACUAUCUUUCUGAUUCCACUUCACAACUCACUCCCUCCAAACAAACAAAAUGAACAAAUAACAGAAUUAAUCAUUUUGGUUCAAAGGACUAUUAGAAGUCAUACAUGACAAGUUCCUACAACAGCAGGAAUUUCCAAUGUAAUUACAUAACAUUCUUUACAAGUUAUCCAACUUUUAUUUGCAGACUUCUAAUACUAAAAAAUUCACUACUUAAUAAGGCAGCUCAAUCCAUUUGGAGGAUAGCACUGUCAGAAUGUUUUCCUUAUAUUAAAAUUUAAAGUUCAGUUAUUUUUUUUAAAUAAAAUUUAAAAUACCAUUCAUAGUUGGGGAAAUUUCAAUGUUAACUUGACAAAAAUUCUUUAGUGGUUUUGUUAUUUGGUAGAUUUUUUUUUUAAUUUCCUUCAUUUUAAAUGUUGUAUUCAUUUAAAUCUAAUAAGAGAUUACUAACUGUAAACUGUUUCUAAAUCCUGAAAACUAAAAUUCAACUCCCUUUUGUCAUCUUAAAAAAAAAAAAAAAAAGAAAAGAAACCUAGUGAAUUAAAACAUGUCUACAAAAUAACUCUUGACCUGACAUUUAAGAAUAGCACACUGCUGUAUAUAGAAUGUUAAACUAGGAAUAGGGACACCUAGGUUUGAAUCCCAGCUCUGAUAAUUAUGAACAGUAUAACUAUAAUCAUAUCAUGUAACCUCAACGUAUCUCAGUCUCCCUAUCUGUAAAAUGAAGAAGUUGAACUAGGCAACCUCUAAGGUUUCUUCUAGCUUAAAAAAAUUUUUUUAUGAUUCAAACACCAAAACAACCGUGUUUUAAAUAUUAUAUUUGCUUUUUGUGAACAUUGAUUUCAAAGGUUUACUUUGAUGAAAUUUUAUUAAAGUAGUUAAAUGAUUCUUCAAAUAUUAUUUUAUUCCCGAUAAUACUGGUACUAAGUUAUUAACCAACUUCCUAAAAAUUCAGAUUUAUCAAACAAAUAGAUCGGAGAACAACUAUGAUAUACAUCUUCCAAAAGGAUUCUAUGCUAAAACAAAAUCACCAUAGCACCUUGAAAUAAUAAAUUUCUCUAAAAUAGGAAUAAGAACUUUUAAUGCAUUAAUGUGCCCUUUAGGCAAUCAGGUGAAGCCAAUCUAAUCCUUCUCAAAAUCAUGUUUUUAAAUGUAUAACAUAUUUAGGAUUACAAAGGAAACCAAUAACAUUGAGGGUGUCAUCAAAAAUAUUUUUAAAGCAAGUUUAAUAUUUAAAAUAAUACUCUCUAAAAAAGCUUGAAUUUAUGUAUCGAUUUCAUGCAUAAUUCAGUGCCAUAUAUAGAGUAAGAUGCUCAAAUACUUCAUCUGAACACAUUUCUGAUCAAACAUAACUUAAUUUUAAAAUGUAGCUAUUAGACAUAAAUGACGAACAUUGCUCUUCCUCCAAUUACUAUUCAAUUAUUAUUCCAUAUAAUAUAUAAGAAUGUACAUUAUAAUUAAAUUAUUCAAUACCUUGAGGCUUUUUCACAAAGCCUCAUUUACAUUAUUAACCAGGAAAAUUGCUGUAAAAAUUAUCUCUCUUA